GAUGAAGAACGUAGUUAAAUGCGAUACGUAAUGUGAAUUGCAGAAUUCAGUGAAUCAUCGAAUCUUUGAACGCAUAUUGCGCUCUCUGGUAUUCCGGAGAGCAUGCUUGUUUGAGUAUCAGUAAACACCUCAACUUCCAUAUCUUUUUUGAAAUGGGAGUUGGACUUGAGUGAUCCCAACGCUUUUCCUCACCGAAAAGUGGCGGGUUACUUGAAAUGCAGGUGCAGCUGGACUUUUCUCUGAGCUAUAAGCAUAUCUAUUUAGUCUGCCUAAAAAACAGAUUAUUACCUUUGCUGCAGCUAACAUAAAGGAGAUUAGUUCUUGUGCUGACUGAUGCAGGAUUCACAAAGACAGCUUCGGCCGACUUUGUAAACUCGAUCUCAAAUCAAGUAAGACUACCCGCUGAACUUAAGCAUAUCAAUAAGCGGAGGA
rnacentral:misc_RNA from 1 species